GGUGAGUAAUGCCUAGGAAAUUGCCUUGAUGUGGGGGAUAACCAUUGGAAACGAUGGCUAAUACCGCAUAAUGCCUACGGGCCAAAGAGGGGGACCUUCGGACCUCUCGCGUCAAGAUAUGCCUAGGUGGGAUUAGCUAGUUGGUGAGGUAAUGGCUCACCAAGGCGACGAUCCCUAGCUGGUCUGAGAGGAUGAUCAGCCACACUGGAACUGAGACACGGUCCAGACUCCUACGGGAGGCAGCAGUGGGGAAUAUUGCACAAUGGGCGAAAGCCUGAUGCAGCCAUGCCGCGUGUAUGAAGAAGGCCUUCGGGUUGUAAAGUACUUUCAGUUGUGAGGAAGGGGGUAACGUUAAUAGCGCUAUCUCUUGACGUUAGCAACAGAAGAAGCACCGGCUAACUCCGUGCCAGCAGCCGCGGUAAUAC
rnacentral:rRNA from 12 species